rnacentral:rRNA from 1 species
UACGGAGGGUGCGAGCGUUGUCCGGAAUUAUUGGGCGUAAAGCGCGCGCAGGUGGUUUCUUACGUCUGAUGUGAAAGCCCACGGCUCAACCGUGGAGGGUCAUUGGAAACUGGGGAACUUGAGUGCAGAAGAGGAAAGUGGAAUUCCAAGUGUAGCGGUGAAAUGCGUAGAGAUUUGGAGGAACACCAGUGGCGAAGGCGACUUUCUGGUCUGUAACUGACACUGAGGCGCGAAAGCGUGGGGAGCAAACAGG